CAGAAAGGAACGAGUUGGCUGCGCGGGGGCUCCACACAGCACCGCUCUGUCCCGUCCGUCCCGUCGCACGCUCCGAGGAGCACUGAGAUGUGGUCACCUCAACACCACUACUAUGUCCUCACGUGUCACAAAGGGCCCUGUGACACCCUGUCCCGUGCCAUCCCAUCGGCCAUGCCCGCCGUGUCACAAAGGGCCCUGUGACACACUGCCACGUGCUCUGGGGCCUCCCCCAGCCCGGCCAACCUGCUCCAGGGAGCUGUUGGGAGUGGCAGAUGGAGCAAUUGGUGGCCGUGCUCGGCAUUGUCCAUUGAAGCUGUUCCAGCCCUGAGAAGAAUGACUGAUGACCUCAAACUCGCCAUUGCAGGCCUGGCCAUUCAAAACUGUACAUGCCAAGAGCUGUACAAACAGCUCCCUGCUCCAGACUCCAGCAGCUCCAAGACUGGCUCUGAAGAGGAAAAUGCCUCUUUUCUGCAAGGACGGCCUUUUACACCAGCAUGGUAAUAUCAAAUAUAUCUAUACAUCUUACGAAA